rnacentral:rRNA from 1 species
GGGAAACUCACCAGGCCAGGACACUAAAAGGAUUGACAGAUUGAUAGCUUUUUCUAGAUAUGGUGGUUGGUGGUGCAUGGCCGUUCUUAGUUGGUGGAGUGAUUUGUCUGGUUAAUUCCGAUAACGAACGAGACCUUAACCUGCUAAAUAGUGACGCGGUUCAUCGAACCGUGGGCCACUUCUUAGAGGGACUAUCGGAUUCAAACCGAUGGAAGUGUGAGGCAAUAA